rnacentral:sRNA from 1 species
AUACGUGCAGGUAGAGUUACGCUGUACACCCAUGUAACCGAAUUAACAUUAACGUUUAAGUGUUAUGCAAGAACACCGGCCGUGGGAAACCGCCGAGAGGCGGAUUUUUUUGU